rnacentral:lncRNA from 1 species
UGUAAUCUAAGGGGUUAUAGUGAAUUCCCAAGUGAGACUUGGGGAGUGGACGUAGGAGCAAGGGUUAGCUCCGAACCACUAUAAAAUCCUUGUAUUUGUGAUUGUUUGUCUCUUUUCUUUACUCUCAUUUCAUUCACAGCACAUAGCAAUUAAUUAAUCAUCUGGGUAAAGCAUUAAUUAGUCAUCCACAACAUUUUAAAUAGCUAAAUUCUUUUAAAACCCAAUU